rnacentral:tmRNA from 1 species
GGGGGUGCAUUGGAUUCGACUCUAGUAGUUGAUUUAAGGGAAGCGUGCCGAGGUCCUCAACCCCUCGUAAAAUAGUUGGGAAUUAAAUGUAACUGCUAACGAGCAAGUUGCACUAGCUGCUUAAUUUAAAGUAGCCGUCAUACUCGAGGUUUGCCUGCGACCUGAGUUUUGGCGUCGAUUAGCAGGCUACUUUUUUCCCGAUGUCUGUAAGGAAAGAAGGAAAUUUUACAGGCUGGCUGGUAAGUGAACUUGCUUGAGAGCUACUUACCGGCGAGAAAUUUUCUUGAGCUACGCACGAAGAAGUCUUAAACGGUUACUUGAGGACGUGGGUUCGAUUCCCACCACCUCCACAA